rnacentral:rRNA from 1 species
UAAGGAAUAUUGGACAAUGGAGGCAACUCUGAUCCAGCCAUGCCGCGUGAAGGAAUAAGGCCCUAUGGGUUGUAAACUUCUUUUAGACGGGACAAAACCCCUUUACGUGUAAAGGGUUGAUGGUACUGUCAGAAUAAGCAUCGGCUAACUUCGUGCCAGCAGCCGCGGUAAUACGAAGGGGGCUAGCGUUGCUCGGAAUCACUGGGCGUAAAGGGCGCGUAGGCGGACAUUUAAGUCAGGGGUGAAAUCCCGGGGCUCAACCUCGGAAUUGCCUUUGAUACUGGGUGUCUCGAGACCGGAAGAGGUAAGUGGAACUGCGAGUGUAGAGGUGAAAUUCGUAGAUAUUCGCAAGAACACCAGUGGCGAAGGCGGCUUACUGGUCCGGUUCUGACGCUGAGGCGCGAAAGCGUGGGGAGCAAACA